CCUACGGGAGGCAGCAGUGAGGAAUAUUGGUCAAUGGCCGUAAGGCUGAACCAGCCAAGUCGCGUGAAGGAAGAAGGAUCUAUGGUUUGUAAACUUCUUUUAUAGGGGAAUAAAGGUAUCCACGUGUGGAUAUUUGCAUGUAACCUAUGAAUAAGCAUCGGCUAACUCCGUGCCAGCAGCCGCGGUAAUACGGAGGAUGCGAGCGUUAUCCGGAUUUAGUGGGUUUAAAGGGUGCGUAAGUUGUUUUUUAAGUCAGCGGUGAAAGUUUGGGGCUCAACCAUAAAAUUGCCGUUGAAACUGGAAGACUUGAGUGUGUUUGAGGUAGGCGGAAUGCGUGGUGUAGCGGUGAAAUGCAUAGAUAUCACGCAGAACUCCGAUUGCGAAGGCAGCUUACUAAGCCAUAACUGACACUGAAGCACGAAAGCGUGGGGAUCAAACAGGAUUAGAUACCCUUGUAGUC
rnacentral:rRNA from 1 species